rnacentral:lncRNA from 1 species
AAGGCACUUUGACAUGUACAAGUGGACAGUCUUUGAAGCCAAAUAGAACUUGGUCCAAAUUCUGACUAACUCACUUUUUAAUUCUGUGUUCACUAAAGACAGAGAUGAUCAUGAUAAUUAUAGCUAAUACUUACAUAUGCCUGUGUCUAUUUUAAGUGUUUACAUAUAUUAACUUACUUUAUCUUUAAGAAAAUAAAGCCCACCAGAGAGAUAUUACCGUCAUAUUUACAGUGAGAGAACCUAUGGUAGAGAAAGGCUGAGUUACUGGCUUAAGCUUGAAAAUGGCAAGGACAGAGUCCAACCCAGACAGCUAAGCUGCAGACAUCCAUGCUGGACUUGCUUAAAAUAAUCAGGGGAACGUUGUCUGAUUUCCAGAAUCUGAGUUUCCUUGAUUGUAAAGAAGGUAACUGAGACCAACAUCAAUGAGGCUUGAAAGAGAUCAUGUAAAUAGGACCCAAGACACCAGGGGCAUCCAGACUAGGAGGACACUCCAGGGUCUAAUUCCUACAGAUGCCAGAGUGAACCAGAGAGUGUUCCAUUUACUCUUGGAAGCAACAAGGAAAUGGGCUCUCAGAGACUAAAAAUAUUGGAAAUGAUGUUUGGCUACAAUGUAAAGAGACAACUUAAAGCUUUCUUGAAGUGAAGAACCACAAAAACAGAAAAACAAAUGGCAAUGCAUGGCAAAGAGAGCUGAGGAUCAAGAACUGUGUUCACAGGCAAGGCUGUGGAUAUGGAGAAUGCAUUAGUUUGUGUGUGCACAUAUAUGUAUGAUAUGCAAUAGUCAGGGUGGUGUGGCCAGUAUACUCUUGUGUUCUAAAAAAUGUUCAUAAUUAAACCGCAGCCUAAUUUAGUGUUCUAGAUUACGAUAAUUUAACUUUUUAGCACUGGGCAUAUAACAGGCCAUCAUGCAUGCUAGGCAAGCUCUGUACCUCUGGGAACACCCCCAGCCCCAAUUUGUCUUUAUGCACCUAAGAAGGUAACGCAACACAAUCAUGAGGUUAUUAGGUUCCUUCCCAUGCAAGAUUGUUUUGAAUGAAGUGAAUGCUGUGUAAAGUAUUAUCAGCCUAGUCCACAGGUAAAACUCAACUGCUGACAUGUAACUGCUUUUCACAGGUGGCCUCUGCAGUUUCCAUUUAGCGCACAAGUCUUCCACCUGGGAAAGUCCAGCUUGUCAGAGAUAUUUCCGGCUUGGUCUUAAAGUCACUAUAUGCUUUAGAGUGAUGUUUUCUAAAGCUGAACAUUAUUUGUAAAACUAUUUUUUCAUCUCUACUGAAACAAAAGUUAGGAACCACAAAUGUAAUCUUGAAAUCUUAGGAGGAAAUUACUGCCUGCAAAACACAUGUGAACACACACACACACACAUAUGCAU